UGUCUGCUGCUUGUGAGAGGUGGGUGCAGGUGUUUUGCUCUGUCGCUGAGGAAUGGCAACCACAAGGAGUUCAAAGGAAUGUGAGGUGUUCGGUGCUUCUAAGGAUCUGUCUCUUACGUGUUUACCAACGUAUGAAGAUGUGAUGAAGUUUUAUCAACAUGUUAGAAUAACAUUAAAAACAUCAAAGAAGGAACCAACUUUUACAGAUAUUUCACAAAUUGUUGCUACUAAACUAGAAGAUCUCACAAGCAGCAGACACACACUGAAGGAAGAGCGUCUGUGUGAGAGGCGUGGUGACUGAGUGGUGACUCAUUCUCUCUCAAUUCCCUCCCUCCCCAACUCUCAAUCGCCGGCCCCUCAUGAGUCAUGAUGCUGCUUGCACCACCAUACGCAAUUACGCACUACACACAGUACACAGUAAUCAUAUGUAUUCCGUUAUUUAAAGGUAGUUUAUCCCUAAUAGAACGCCUGAAGUGCAACAUUGACUUUACUAAAAAAUAUUGGAAACUCAUGUGUAUUAUAUUUAAUUUUACUUAAAUUUAAGCUGUCUGGGGAGACAAAAGAUGUUGAUAUUCAAUGUUUAUAUUUUGCAUACAUGAACUUAGAGGCCAGUACAAAUAAUUCUGUUGUAUAGGAAAUGUAAACAUUAGAUAUUUUAUUUUUGGGAAUUUUUUUAAAUUAUGCGAGUUUUUCUGCAUUUUUCCAAUAUUUCAGACCAUUUGGGGAGGCAGAAGAUAAAGACUUGAGACGUUCCCAUUAAUAAUAGGAGCUAAAUACACCACUUAAAGAUAGUUUAUCACUAUAGGAGCGCAUAAAAAUAAAAAUAAAAAUAAAAGAAAUAUUGAUAAAAAAGUGAUUUUUAACUUCAAAAAUUGACUUUUAAGCUCUGUGGGGAGGCAGAAGACAUCAUCGCAGACACCUGAAACUUUGCAAAUAUUUUUUUCUCACCCAUGAGACACAUUUUAUCACUAUAGGAACAAAAAAAUAAAAAAAAGUUGAAAAACGAUCCGCCCUGCACUCCUGUUGGUUACCGUCCUGUUAAUAAAGUCUAAUACCCUG